UGGAUCACCUCCUAACAGGGAGACAACACAAAGAUUUUGAUGUCUGAGUAAUUUAUUCUUAGGCCGAAAUCCUGUCACCUUAGGUCGAUCGGUACCUCAGCGUUGAAGCAACAGAGUUAACAGAGAUGUUGAUGCGUGUUGUGGAGAUGAUCAGUUCCUAAACUUUGUCUAGGUCACACCCCACAAGGGUUGAGUUUUCCUGGGCCAUUAGCUCAGGUGGUUAGAGCGCACCCCUGAUAAGGGUGAGGUUCCUGGUUCAAGUCCAGGAUGGCCCAUUCGGUGUUGGGGGUUUAGCUCAGUUGGUAGAGCGCCUGCUUUGCAAGCAGGAUGUCAGGAGUUCGAGUCUCCUAACCUCCACUGACCGAACUUGAUUCCCAUCUCCAAUUUUUUUGGAGUUGAGCUCGAUUGGAGUGUGAUUUAGAUGUGUCCGCUGGAUGACCCCAGCUUCCUGUCAUUCCAAGUUUUAGGUUGAUGCCUUGAAUUUGGUUGAUAAGAUGCUGGGCUCGGAUCAAAUGAUCAAGCAAUUGAUGAUUUGAUUUGAAGUUCUAGCAGAACCUUGACAACUGCAUAGGUGAGUCUGGAAAAAACAAAGCAUCUUACAGAUGCAUUGUUUUGAAUCUAAUCUUCUGAAAGGGAGAUUAGAUCUAGAACAAUGAAAAUUCUUUUGAGCAAGAGCCGAGACUCUUGAGCGUUCUUUGUUCGUGUCGAGCGAAUCAGAGUUUGAUCUUGUUUUUAGCAAUAAAAACUUGAGAAUCUGCUUUCAACGGUGGUAAGCGUUUAGGAGGUUAAUUGGUCAAGCUACAAAGGGCUCACGGCGGAUACCUUGGCACACAGAGGCGAUGAAGG
rnacentral:tRNA from 1 species